CACACUUUUGUUGCUGCCUGUGCAGCCAAGUGCGCGCGGGGGAGUUCAUUUUCCUCUACCAGGUACGCUGAGGCCAGAGCACUAUGUCGUUGGCUGCAGAUGGUGGCUGAUUUGGAAGCUGCAGCUGUGGAAGUGGAGAGUAAUUCUAAGGGCUUGUCUCUCUUCGACAAUUUCGGAUCGAAUUUUGUGAGAGACUGAGGCCUUCAGUGGAAUGGGGAUUGCAAGGGCUAGUCUCUCUUCGACAAUUUCGGAUCGAAGGAACCAAGGAUCUGCUGGAGACGUUGCUCAAUGAACAGCUGCUCCCUGCCACUCUUCACACUCUCCAAAUCUCUCAUGUAUGGUAUCUGAAAUCUAUGGACGGAAAGGGACUUGAGCACCUCACUUCUCUUCAAAAGCUACAAAUUUCAAAGUGCGAAAGUCUCAAAUUCCUGCCAAAAGAGGGUUUUCCGGAAUCUCUUUCUUAUCUGAACAUCUUGGGGUUGUCCUUCUCUGAAGAAGAGGUAUGAGAACAUAGAUCGCAUUCCUUGCAUAGAGAUAGAUGGAGAAGUCAACCUCUUGUGAGCUUUCAUUUCACUCUCCAACUCUCAACUCUCAACUCUCAAGACAAAAGCCAGGUACUAUUUUAUUUAUUAUUAAAUUGAUUGUCCUCAGCAAUAUUCCAGCUUAAAUUAAAGUUUCAGAGUUUAAUUACGAUGAAAUUACAGGAGAGUGGGAGGGGAGUGAAUUAUUUGUAGUCUGAUACUGUGGAACUACUUGGGGGUGGAUAUAUAUGAUUCUCCUGCAUGACAAGAGGUAAAACCCUGGAUGAUGGUUUUCUCAUACUUCUCUCGUUUGCGACAUAACUCUAAUCUUGUGGUAGGUGUGAUGGGACUAACAGAUAUAUCGGUUUCACUGAUGCAGCGAGCAAGCAAACCCGUAAAGAUAGGAUUAUCAAAUGGUGCUCUGGUUUCUGGACUGUCAAGUUUGAAAUCUUUUGGACGGAAAUGGACUUACAACGCCUCCCACUCGCAAUUCCUGCCGGGACUCGACCCUCUAAACCUCAAGCUCUCUUCAACAGCUAUAUAAGGAUUGAAUGUAUGCGGGACUUCGUCGGUCCAGAGAGAAAACUAUUGAACUGCAAAGAUAGGAUUAUCAGAGGGAAAACGAUGUUAGCUUACAUCAACCACUCAGGUACUUGUGUAUAUAUAUACUGCUGUGGUUUCCAUAUGGCGGAAUGCUUACCCAUAUUUCAAUGCCUCUGUCAUCUUGUGGUAGGUGCAUACACAUAUGUUUCUCCGCAAAGACAAUGGUUGGAGAGAGUAUGGCUUAUUGGCAUCGGUUGCUAGAAUGCCAGUGUUACUAGACUUGGUGGCUGGCUGCUGCAUCUACAGAUUUCAGUGUAAGUAGUUGAACACUUGGAGUGCAAUUUGUGCUUCCUUUAUGUAUCAUUGUAAUUCAACUAUGCAAUCAGUCAGGACAAUUCGAUGGGACCAACGUAUUUGUCGGCUUUAUUGAUGCAGAUGGCAACUCUGGAAAUGUACAGAGAGGAUUAUCUAUAGCCAACGAUUUAACAUGCAUCAAUUAGUUGUCCUUGAAUGGUGCUAGCUCCAGUUAUCUGGCAUGAAUAUAAUUUUACUUAUGUUGGAGAGGUAACCCCUGGAGUGCUGUUUUUUCUAAUGCUGUUGUAGUUUGAAUAUGAGAGGCAUGCCUUUUUAUCUUCUCUUGAUGUCACUCUCAUCUACGAAUGGGCGCAGAUAUGCUUUUGUACAGACAGAGUGGUGGAACAGCUCGCUUGAUCCUUGUAGCACUAUUCUCAUGCUUGCGUUGGUAUUCCAGUAAAUAAUAUUACUAGAGUAAGUGGUUGGCUGGUGUGCUACUGAUUUCACAAGAAUGAUAAUUCUUACGUUGAGCACUGCAGACGAGCUGUAAAUUAGCUUUCCACCACUCUCUUGUUUUAAGUUCUAUUUGCUUGUUUUCUAAGAUAAAUGUAUCCAUAAUAAUUUCUUCAUCUUUGAAUUUAGGAGUAUCUUGUUAAGCUGAGGUAUGAAAAAGGGAAGCAGUUGAGUUGGCAUCCUAUUGAAAUGGAUUUGAGAGAACAUGCUUUUCACAGUUCGAUUCAGAAUUAAACUGUAGAAAGCUUGUGAAGGUAAAGCUCUGCGUUCUUUCCCGCUCUUGAGGAAGAUGCAGUGGAGAAAUAGACGAUGCUUCACCUUAACCCAAGUUUGAUGGGUAAAGUUGGAGCAGCGGGCUCUUAAAUUUAGAAACCUUCUUGGUAAGUAGCAACUCAACCGUAGUAAUGCUUCAUGUACAUUAUCGCACAUAGCAGCAAAAUUUCCCAAUCGCUAAGGGGUCCAUUCAUUGUUUCUCUUAAUAUAUAGUAUUUGUUUUUCUGAUUCUAAUGCAGUCAAAUGCACACUUUGUUGCUGCCUGUGCAGCCAAGUGCGUGCGUGUGGAGUUCGUUUUCCUCUACCACGUACAUUGAGGCCAGAUCCCUACGUCGUUGGCUGCCGAUGGUGGCUGAUUUGGAGGCUGCUGCUGUGGAAGUGGAGAGUCAUUGCACUCUAGCUUUGGCAGGGCUGUUGCAAAAGGGGGAGGAUUAUUCUGCGUCUGGCCCAAUAUUAUGUGAGACGAGAGGCCUAAAAGGUUGCACAUAGACUUGCACGAUAUCAAGAGUUGCUAUAGUUUGACGACUAUAUUUUGGAUGUUUUAGUUAAUAGAAGCUAGACCGUCGUAUCUUGUAAAUUGUUGGUGCGUGGUACUCUUUUUCCUUCCGUUGGUUGAAAUUCCCAACAAGGUUUUGAUGAGGCCGCUCUUCAACACCCUAUUGUCUUGUACAUUAUUCUUUGAGUAAAUUGUAGCAAUGGUCCCUGAACUUUACUCAAAUUGGAGUAAUGGUCCCUCAACUAAAAUUCCAUUACCAUUGGUCCCUCAACUUAUCAAAAUUUGUAGCUAUAGUUAUUUUCAUUAAUUUCUUCAAAAUUUUGUCAAAAUAUGUUAGGUUGGAAUAACCAUUUACUUAAUUAGGGUCCCUCAACUUAUCAAAGUGUGUAAUUAUGGUCAUUUUUGUUAACUAUGUAAAUUUUUUUGUCAAAAGGAGUUAUGUUUGAAGGACCAUAGCUACAAUUGGGAUAAAGUUAAGGGACCAUUUCUCCAGUUAAAUUAAAAUUGAGGGACCAAAGGUAAUGGAUUUUUAGUUGAGGGACCAUAGUUGCACGUUUUAAUGAGUUGAAGGACCAAUGGUAAUGAAUUUUUAGUUGAAGGAUCAUUACUUCAAUUUGAGUAAAGUUCAGGGACCAUAGCUACAAUUUACUCUUAUUCUUUCGAUGGUAACAACUAGCACACUUUAAGUUAAAAAGCAAAUUCCUUUUUGGGUUCAGACCCUAAAAAACUUUAAUCUUAGUAAUAGUUGAGGUUUUUGUCAAUUCGUCCCCUCUCUCGAAUUUGAAUGUCGAUUACCUUUCUGAACUUUUAUAAUUACAAGUUUGCCCUCGUACAAUUGCCAAGUGCUAUCCAUAUGACCAGGAUGGAUGAAAAAUAUCAAAAUCUAACACCACCAAAGAAAUUGCUGACUUGACAACGUUUUGACAAGGCAUCCACAUCUAAAUGAUUAUAUGUAGAAAGCAUGAAACAUGCUACGAGUGUUGGUGUUGAAUUCUACGGGGGGGAUAUCAACCGUUUCAAUCUUUAGAGAGGCUAGAGUUUUGGAUUGCUGUGAUUCUCUGAGGUCGUUCCCUUUGGGCAUCUUCCCCAAGCUUUCAACUCUUGGUAUCUAUGGUUGUCAGAAUCUGGAGUCCCUUUAUGUUGAAGGAAGAGCAGUCGAAAAUCUCAGCCAUCUCGACUACCUGUCUCUCCGGAGAUGUCCAAAUCUGGUCUCUUUUCACGACGGAGGAUUGCCCACUCCCCACCUGACUUCCUUUUCAGUCUGGGGAUGCAAGAGUUUGAAGUUGUUGCCGGACGAAAUGCACACCCUCACCGCCCUUCAACAUUUGUGGAUACAAAAUCUUCCAAAUCUGGAGUCACUUGCACAAGGGGGUAUGCCUCGCAACCUACAAGCAUUUUGGAUCGAAAAUUGUGAGAGACUGAGGCCUUCAGAGGAGUGGGGAUUGCAAGGACUUGUCUCUCUUCGAGAAUUUAUAAUCACCAGAAACAAGGACCCGCUGGAGACGUUGCUCAAGGAACAUCUGCUCCCUGCCACUCUUCUCACUCUCAAAAUCUCUCAACUUUCAAAUCUGAAAUCUUUGGACGGGAAGGGACUUGAGCACCCCACUUCUCUUCAACAGCUAGAAAUUUCAUGGUGCCAGAGUCUUGAAUUCCUGCCAAAGGAGGGUUUUCCGGUGUCUCUUUCUUGGUUGAGUGUGGAGAAUUGUCCUUCUCUGAAGAGGAGUUAUCGGAACAAGAAAGGAAAUGAUUGAAGAAACAUAUUUCGCAUUCCUUGCAUAAAGAUAGAUGAUGAAGUCACCAUCCUAUGAGCUUUCAUUCACCUCUCCAACUCUCAACUCUCAACUCUCAAGACGAAGCCAGGUUAUUUCUUAUUUAUUAUUACAUUGAUUGUCCUCAGCAAUAGUCCUACUUAAAUUCAAGUUUCGGAGUCUAAUUCCAAUGAAAUUACAGGAGAAUGCGAGGAGACUGACUUCUUUGUAGUCUGAUACUGUGGAACUACUUGGGGUGGAUGUACAUGAUUCUCCUGCACGAGAAGAGGUAAGCCCUUAGUGAUGGUUUUUCGUACUUCUCCCGUUUGCGCACAACAGUUGAAUAGUGCCUCAUCGCUGUGCCUCAUGGUUGUGCUAUGGAUUUCACCGGUUGAACAUUGCAGAUCAGAUGUAAAUUGUAAUUUACUUUCUCUCACUUUUUCUAUCUUCGGUUUGCCUUUUCUCUAUUGCAUUUCUAUUAGGGAUCAGUCUUUUUCUUUAACAGUUCAUUUCAACUAUAUGCUAAGUCAAGAAAAUGUGAAGGGACUAACAGAUGUAUCGGUUUCAUUGAUGCAUUGAGCAAACAGACUAAACCUGUAAAGAUAGGAUUAUCAAAUGGAGCUCUGGUUUACUGAACUAUCAAGUUUGAAAUCUUUGGAUGGAAAUGGACGUUCAAAACCUACUGGACUCUCAACUCUAUUAAGAGAGCACCGCUUACUGGCACUGCAUGCUAGAAUGCCAGUAUUACUAGACUCGGUGGCUGGCUGCUGCGCCUACAGAUUUCAAUGUAAGCAGUUGAACACUUGAGUGUAAUCUGUUCUUCCUUUAUGUAUCAAUGUAAUUGAACUACGGUACUAUUAUCCUUGAAAUAUGAAUGUUUACCUUCUGUUUAGUUAUUGGAUUGUCUCUUGUAGGCUAACAUGCAUCUUUGUAGAACUUAAGAAUGAUCAGAAAGGCUAAUGACACUACCUACCCAACUGAGAGAACUUAACCUCGAUGAAUUAUUACAAGAGCGGCUAGAUAAACUGCCUGUAAAGUUUUUUCGAAGUCAUUGACUAAAAGGUCGUACCCAGUGCACAAGGCUCCCGCUUUACGCAGGGUCUGGGAGAGGUGAAUGUCGGCUAGCCUUACCCCCAUUUAUGGAGAGGCUGCUCCCAAGUCUCGAACCCGAGACCUACCGCUCAUGGGCGAAGGCACUUGCCAUCGCACCAAGUGCCAUUGAAUAAAAAUGUUAGCUUUUCCUCCAUAUUUCAAAUUCUAGUUUCUCAUUUUCUUUUUUAAUUUUAGAAAUUGUAUUUAGUUUAAAACGCGCCAGAUGCCCUAUAUAUCUAGCAUUUAACUUGUGUUGCUUUGCGUUUUGUAGGAAGCAUUCUGAAAGGUUUAUGAGUGGAAGGUCAUGAACUGUCUUGAGAUCUUGACUGGAGCCGUCUCUUCCUAUGGCACAGAACCUGAGUUUAGGCCUGUUGCGUAUGUGAUUUUGCCGUCUCUUCCUAUGGCACAGAGCUCUGGACUGGAGCCAUCUCUUCCUAUGUGAUUUUGCCGUCAAUGUAUAAUAUGUAUGUGUACUUUGCUAAAUUGUUACCAGCCAAUAACCACAAAUGCCUAUUUCUUGGAUCUUUCAUGAUUGAAUUAUCAAACUUUGUUUUAAUCUGAAAUAUCUUUAACGCUUGGCCUUCAUUUCGUUUUAUUUUGAUAUCAUCUUGGAGAAACUGAAGUCAUUAUAGGAUGAGAAAAAGUCAGGGGCUAGCUCUCUGUCGAAGUACGUUGCAACUCUACGUGAAGUAGCACAACAAAGAAUGCUUCGUUGUCUCUAUUGAGUUCAUUUUCACAGUCAUGUUUGAUGUUCCAUUUUCUAACAUCCUAAUUGGUUCCAGUGUUCUUGUGGGCGAGCAUUCAUCUGUCUUUGGAAGUAAAGGACGAGAAAGCGAUGAAGAAGAUGACACCAGGGACGACGAAGGCAUUGCUGCCUUUAAUUCGUCCUGGUUACCAGGAAAGGAUUCCAAGUAUGGUCUCUCUCUCUCUCUCUCUCUAGAUUGCUAUACAAUUUUACUUUUGGUAUUUGUGUUGUAACAUUAUUAUUGGUUUUUCAGAGCUGAACCACCCAAAGAUGUGAAAAAGAAGAAAAGGAAGCGAAAGACUGAGUGCCAGGACCGAGUAGACAUGGAUGAAGAUAUUGUUCAGGAGUUGGUACUCAGUCUGAAGAAGAAGACGGGUCUUAGCUUACAUAUCAAUUACUACUAGUUGAUUGAAAUUUCAGGACAGUAUCAUCAAAUAUAAUAGCAACCGGUUUUAGCUUACAUAUCAAUUACUACUAGUUGAUUGGUGUGGCGGCAAUCUCUCGCAUAUAUGAUUCACCUUGCAUGGGAUAAAAGUAACUCCUUGUUGAUGUUUUUCUUUCACCGAUGUACUGCUGUGGUUUCCAUAUGGUGGAAUGCUCACUCAUCUUUCAAUGCCUCUGUCAUCUUGAGGUAGGUGUAUACACAUACGUUUCUAUACAAACACAAUGGUUGAAGAGAGCAUGGCUUAUUGGCACCGCUUUCUAGAAUGCCAGUGUUACUCGACUCGGUGGCUGUCUGCUGCCGCGCCUACAGAUUUCAGCGUAAGCAGUUGAACACUUGAGUGUAACUUAUUCUUCCUUUCUGUAGCAGUGUAAUUCAACUAUGCUAUCAGUCAGGACAGCACGAUGGGACUACAUAUAUGUCGGCUUUAUUGAUGCAGAUGGCAACUCUGGAAUUGUAAAGAAAGGAUCAUCUACUGCCAACAAUUUAAACAUGCAUCAAUUAGUUGUCCUUGAAUGGUGCUACUCCAGCUAUCUGGCAUGAAUAUAACUCUCUCCAACUCCCAACUCUCAAGACAAAAGCCAGG
rnacentral:lncRNA from 1 species